AAUAUUCGUUAGGAAGUAGUCUCUAAAAAAAAUAUUUGUAUUUUUAGCACAUAUAUUACACCGUUAAAAAAAAAUUCUAUCAAUUAUUUGAACCGGUGCAAAUUUUAUAUUAUUUAACUAUUUUUAAUUUAAUUGGGUGUGAACGAGGUUAUUGCACUGUGGCUCUGGGUUCUGUAGUCUUUUUCAAAAACUCUGAAAUUGGUUUGGAGUUUGGGAAUUUCAGUGCGGGUAUCUGAUUUCUUAUCACUCCAUGGAGGCUCAUCCUCAAAUUGGUUUCUGAUUUCUCAUCAAACAAAUUUCAAAUUCGCUACACAUUUCAUACUGCACAGAGAUUUCGUGGUACAAUUCUGAUCUAUCUUCCGAUCUUCCUUCUUGAAGCUGUGUGAUCUUUCUUCUUGAUAAACAACUAUAGAAGUGCUUUUUAAUCAUAGUUUGAUUUCAAGAUAUAUUUUUGAUCCAGGUGGACAACAAAAACCAAAGUUGUGCUUCUUUAUUUCUUCCCUAUUUGAGGACAAAUCGUUUUUAAAGAGGGAGGGAAUGAUGGCAACCCCUUUAGAGACUUCCCAUCUAAAGAAGUAUCAACGACAACUAAGACUAAAGAAAGGAAAGUAGAAUAUAGAUUUCCAAAACUAUUUCCUUAUCUAAGUCUUAGCAUGAUUCUCUUUACUUAAAUACAUUUUACUUUGUUUGUAGGUCAUUAUAAAAAGCAAGGAAGUAACCAAGCAAGGAGGAAGCAAAGGAGACAAAAGUGAAUACUUGGACACGCUGGCGCUCAAUGGCAAGCACACUACCGCCCAGCGAUGCCUAGGAGAUGCUCCAUUCCUUUGAACACGUGUUUCAUGCUUAUCAUGUGGAACACAUGGCCAGCUGAUAGCUUCUUCUUCAAGCUUUUUUCAAUAUUUCAGCACAUGUACAUUGGCUAGCUUACCUUGCAAGAUUGAUGAGCUUUCCUUCUCUUAUAAAAGGAAGCUUACUCAUUGUACAAAUUAACUUGAAUGAAAUUAGUAUUAUGCUAUCAAAAUUCAGCCACUUCUCUCCCGUUCAAACUCUUUGCUAGCUUUAGCUUUGCAUCCUCUAGCUUCUUUCCCCUUAGGAAAGUUGUCGGAACUAGAUUUCAUCACCACAAUCCAUCAAAAACACGUUCACACCUUUUAUCAAACACCUACCAUACAUAUCCUCCAACCUUCAAGAACUUCAGUCUGCUGCAACUUCUGAUCGGGAUUGUUGUUUGUGCUCAAGUACGAAAGUGUUUCUAUCAACCACGGACUGCUUUCAGCACCUCCCCGUUCUUGUUUUGUCCUCUAGUAAAAUUUAAUUUUAAGGUUAAUAUUGUUCAACUUUAUCCUGAACGAAUCUGAGUAUCCGUGAGCAAAUGUCAACAUCCGAAGGUAGAAUGAAUGUCGACAUUUGUAACAGUGCGUUUCGAGUGGUUUCGUCGUAAGGACGACAGCGUUUCGGUGGACGAUGAGGACUCUAGCGUCUGCAGUUUCGCGCCAAUGGCGGUGGACGCAGCGGCGCUGGAAGCAGUUUUAGCGUUUUCAACUCC